rnacentral:lncRNA from 1 species
CAAACUCAAGCAACAAUUUUUCUCUCUUUAUCUUCUCAAAAGAAUAUGAAAAAGUGCCUGAAUUUUUCUUCUCCUUUGUGAAAAUCGUUUGAAGUGUUAUGAAACUUGUGUCUCUUGGCAAGUUGAAAACCUGAAACUUCGAAGAGUGAAGUUAAGUCAUCCCAAAGGUAUGUUCUAACUGCUUUUCUUUUUCUUUUCAAAUGUAUUUGAAAUAAAGUACAACUCAGAGCAUAAAAGGUAUAAGUGUUCAUGCACAAAUUUGAGCAAUACAAAGUUGAUUAGGCUACCCAAAUCAACAAACUUUUGUAUUGAUUCAAAGUGUUCAAAGAACACAUUUCUCAUUAAGUUUUGAAAUUCAAGCAUUUUGGUGAAAGAUAAAAGCCUUAAUUGAAUGUAAAGGAAAUUGUUCCCACAUUUUCAAGAUUGAUUACAUUAAAAUGGGUGAAGUAUCUUGUUGAAAAUCAAGAGUUAGGGUUAACAAGUUAGAAAUUGGACAAGAAGUUUAAAAUUCCAGCAUAUGAAUUGAAAAGGUUGAGUUUAUGAAAAUCCAUUGUGAUGGCGAAGAGGUUGAUAAGUCAUCAAUAAAAUUAAAAAAAAAAGGUUGUGAAUUAUGAUGUAAUCUGAUGACCUGGCUGAUAAGCCAUCACUUAAGUGGUGACUUAUCAGAACAAUUUAUCACCUGAAAUAAAAAUGUGUUGCAUUGUGUUUUGGGUUAACGACUUGGAUGAUAAGCCAUCACUUAAGUGAUGACUUAUCAGAUAAGACAUCACUUGUUACCAUGAAAUGUGUUCAUUCAUAUUACGUGGCUGAUAAGUCUUCACUUAAGUGACGACUUAUCAGACCGAGUCAUCACACACAUGCUUAGCCAUUUUGAUAAAACCUUUUCAAGAGAGAUACUAAUAAUGAAUAACUCUUUUAUGCUUAUUAAUUCUUGUGUAUUAAAUGAUUCUUUUCCCUUGAUGAAGAUAUAACCAUGCCACCUAAAGGGAAGACAAAGAAAUUAACCAAGAAGGUUACAAAAAAGAACUUGACCCGGAGACUCUUCAAUGAGUUUGAAAGUGAGCAAGAAUAGCCAUAGC